rnacentral:rRNA from 1 species
GAUGAACGCUGGCGGCGUGCCUAAUACAUGCAAGUCGAGCGAACGGACGAGAAGCUUGCUUCUCUGAUGUUAGCGGCGGACGGGUGAGUAACACGUGGAUAACCUACCUAUAAGACUGGGAUAACUUCGGGAAACCGGAGCUAAUACCGGAUAAUAUUUUGAACCGCAUGGUUCAAAAGUGAAAGACGGUCUUGCUGUCACUUAUAGAUGGAUCCGCGCUGCAUUAGCUAGUUGGUAAGGUAACGGCUUACCAAGGCAACGAUGCAUAGCCGACCUGAGAGGGUGAUCGGCCACACUGGAACUGAGACACGGUCCAGACUCCUACGGGAGGACGCAGUAGGGAAUCUUCCGCAAUGGGCGAAAGCCUGACGGAGCAACGCCGCGUGAGUGAUGAAGGUCUUCGGAUCGUAAAACUCUGUUAUUAGGGAAGAACAUAUGUGUAAGUAACUGUGCACAUCUUGACGGUACCUAAUCAGAAAGCCACGGCUAACUACGUG